rnacentral:rRNA from 1 species
CCUACGGGAGGCAGCAGUGGGGAAUAUUGCACAAUGGGGGAAACCCUGAUGCAGCGACGCCGCGUGAGUGAAGAAGUCUUUCGGUAUGUAAAGCUCUAUCAGCAGGGAAGAUAAUGACGGUACCUGAGUAAUAAGCCCCGGCUAACUACGUGCCAGCAGCCGCGGUCAUACGUAGGGGGCAAGCGUUAUCCGGAUUUACUGGGUGUAAAGGGAGCGUAGACGGCAUGGCAAGUCUGAAGUGAAAGCCGGGGGCUCAACCGCGGGACUGCUUUGGAAACUGGUAAGCUGGAGUGCAGGAGAGGGAAGUGGAAUUCCUAGUGUAGCGGUGAAAUGCGUAGAUAUGAGGAGGAACACCAGUGGCGAAGGCGGCUUACUGGAAUGUAACUGACGUUGAGGCUCGAAAGCGUGGGGAGCAAACAGGAUUAGAUACCCUUGUAGUC